ensembl:lncRNA
GUCACAGCCGAAAUGGGUCGAAAGUGCCUCCAGGAACUUUGUCUUAAUGGAACUCAAAAAUGGCUUAAAGGAGCCGGAGCGGGUCUCCAGACACACGCAACGUGUCUCCGUCCUCGGCCGCCGACGACCUUCCUCAGCCGUGGAUGAUGUCCCUCUGUACAGCCAGCCAAUCCAAUGUUUAAUCAGACAGCCGGGGCAGCCAGCGCACCGAUCCGUCAUCCAGCGCCGGUGAGUCAGUUACUCUGACAGCUGUCAUAUCCUCAGCAGGACCGGUCCGCCGGUCGGCAUCACCGGGGCCGCUGCGUGAGGGAAGGCACCGACGUUGCAGUUGGAUUUAGGCACCCGAGGGGGGGGUCAAGUUGGACCAAAUGCAUCUCGGCCUCGGCCAACUGGUGUUGAGCGUUGGGAGAGAGAACACUACGGGAUGUGGUGUUGAAAGAACUGGUUCUUAUCGCAGCUGCAGGGGCGAAUCCGGAAUGAAAAAUGUGAAGUAAUGUGGUCUUUUUGCACCGGAGUGGAUUUUAUUUUAUGAUCCAACGUCGCUACUCUUACGUGACUCACGCUUCUGCUCAGCAGCAGGAGAGUUUCACAGAUGACUAUUUCCCUUCAAUGUUCUUCCCUCUUUGCUUUUAAUGGUUGAGAAACACAUCAAAAUGAAUUCUCACAGGAAUUCUAGGGUUGACUACACAUCUUUUUUCGUUUUUUUGGGGAGUUUUUUCCUGUG